rnacentral:rRNA from 1 species
UACUGCUCAGUAACACGUGGAUAACCUGCCCUAAGGAAGGGGGUAACCUCGGGAAACUGAGGAUAAUACCCUAUAGGAUACCGAUGCUGGAAUGCCCGGUAUCCCAAAGCUCCGGCGCCUUAGGAUGGAUCUGCGGCCGAUUAGGUCGUUGUUGGGGUAACGGCCCAACAAGCCGAUAAUCGGUACGGGUUGUGGGAGCAAGAGCCCGGAGUUGGAUUCUGAGACACGAAUCCAGGCCCUACGGGGCGCAGCAGGCGCGAAAACUUUACAAUGCGGGCAACCGUGAUAAGGGAACCUCGAGUGCCUGUACAUGCAGGCUGUCUGGGUGUCUAAAACACACCCAAAGAAAGGGCCGGGCAAGACCGGUGCCAGCCGCCGCGGUAAUACCGGCGGCUCGAGUGGUGGCCACUUUUAUUGGGCUUAAAGCGUUCGUAGCUGGGUUGUUAAGUCUCUUGGGAAAUCUGGCAGCUUAACUGUCAGGCGUCUAAGAGAUACUGGCAAUCUAGGAACCGGGAGAGGUGAGGGGUACUUCGGGGGUAGGAGUGAAAUCCUGUAAUCCUCGAGGGACCACCUGUGGCGAAGGCGCCUCACCAGAACGGCUUCGACAGUGAGGGACGAAAGCUGGGGGAGCAAACCGGAUWAGAUACCCGGGUAGUCCCAGCCGUAAACGAUGCGCGUUAGGUGUUCGAUGACCACGAGUCAUCGAGGUGCCGAAGGGAAACCGUGAAACGCGCCGCCUGGAAG